rnacentral:rRNA from 1 species
AUUGGGUCUAAAGGGUCUGUAGCCGGCCGGAUAAGUCUCUUGGGAAAUCCGGCAGCUCAACUGUUGGGCUUUCAGGAGAUACUGUCUGGCUCGAGGCCGGGAGAGGUGAGAGGUACUUCAGGGGUAGGGGUGAAAUCUUGUAAUCCUUGAAGGACCACCAGUGGCGAAGGCGUCUCACCAGAACGGACCUGACGGCAAGGGACGAAAGCUAGGGGCACGAACCGGAUUAGAUACCCGGGUAGUCCUAGCCGUAAACGAUACUCGCUAGGUGUCGGCCACGGUGCGACCGUUGUCGGUGCCGUAGGGAAGCCGUGAAGCGAGCCACCUGGGAAGUACGGCCGCAAGGCUGAAACUUAAAGGAAUUGGCGGGGGAGCACCACAACGGGUGGAGCUUGCGGUUUAAUUGGAUUCAACGCCGGAAAUCUUACCGGGACCGACAGCAAUAUGAAGGCCAGGCUGAAGACUUUGCCGGAUUAGCUGAGAGGUGGUGCAUGGCCGUCGUCAGUUCGUAU